AAAAUUUUAGUUUAUAAAAAAUUAUUUAUUUACAAUAAAUAGAAUAAUAGAGAUUAUUAAAAUUUUA
rnacentral:tRNA from 1 species